AUUGAACGCUGGCGGCAGGCCUAACACAUGCAAGUCGAGCGGAUGAAGGGAGCUUGCUCCUGGAUUCAGCGGCGGACGGGUGAGUAAUGCCUAGGAAUCUGCCUGGUAGUGGGGGAUAACGUCCGGAAACGGGCGCUAAUACCGCAUACGUCCUGAGGGAGAAAGUGGGGGAUCUUCGGACCUCACGCUAUCAGAUGAGCCUAGGUCGGAUUAGCUAGUUGGUGGGGUAAAGGCCUACCAAGGCGACGAUCCGUAACUGGUCUGAGAGGAUGAUCAGUCACACUGGAACUGAGACACGGUCCAGACUCCUACGGGAGGCAGCAGUGGGGAAUAUUGGACAGUAGGCGAAAGCCUGAUCCAGCCAUGCCACGUGUGUGAAGAAGGUCUUCGGAUUGUAAAGCACUUUAAGUUGGGAGGAAGGGCAGUAAGUUAAUACCUUGCUGUUUUGACGUUACCAACAGAAUAAGCACCGGCUAACUUCGUG
rnacentral:rRNA from 1 species